rnacentral:rRNA from 1 species
AUUGAACGCUGGCGGCAGGCCUAACACAUGCAAGUCGAGCGGAUGAAGGGAGCUUGCUCCUGGAUUCAGCGGCGGACGGGUGAGUAAUGCCUAGGAAUCUGCCUGGUAGUGGGGGAUAACGUCCGGAAACGGGCGCUAAUACCGCAUACGUCCUGAGGGAGAAAGUGGGGGAUCUUCGGACCUCACGCUAUCAGAUGAGCCUAGGUCGGACUAGCUAGUUGGUGUGGUAAAGGCCUACCAAGGCGACGAUCCGUAACUGGUCUGAGAGGAUGAUCAGUCACACUGGAACUGAGACACGGCCCAGACUCCUGCGGGAGGCAGCAGUGGGGAAUAUUGGACAAUGGGCGAAAGCCUGAUCCAGCCAUGCCGCGUGUGUGAAGAAGGUCUUCGGAUUGUAAAGCACUUUAAGUUGGGGGGAAGGGCAGUAAGUUAAUACCUUGCUGUUUUGACGUUACCAACAGAAUAAGCACCGGCUAACUUCGUG